AACGUUGUAUGGGCUGUUUAAACUACGUAGAAUACGUCAGGAAUACCAAUAACCACGGCGGUAUGAGAUGUGUCCGCUCUGGAAUACCGUACGUGUAGUUGAACUACGCAUGCGCACAGAGUUCUGUCAGUCUCUAGUAAGUAAGAUGGAUAGUGGGGAGGCUCCUGCUCAGCGGCCAGUCACCUUGGACAUCACAGUGGAAGAUGUAGCCAAGGAAGCCCCAGACCCAGAACCUCCGGAGCAAACCAACAGCCAGACCCCUUCCAGAGACAACGUCGUUCCCCAGGAAGACAGCAUCGACCUGGGCGGGGAGUUUGCCACCCCCCAGGAGGACAGCAGCGCUACACUUUCAGAGAGUCUGAUGGACAAGCUCAACGACCAGAUGAUGGAGAGCGUCAUGAUUUCUGACUCACCUAAUAACAGUGAGGAGGACGAUGUAGCUCCCAUUGACUCCUUUCUGGAUGGAGGAGAGCAGGAGGAGAAUGCACAAGAGACUUCAGGUGACAAAGAACAAAGUGAAAUUGGACAGAAUACAACUGAGAUUAAAGUUUCAGUGGAGGAACAGGAGAAAGGUGGUUCUGAGGAGAAAGCAGAAGAGGACACAAAGAAGCAAACAGACACGCAAGAGCAAGUCACAGCCUGUGUUUCACCUCAAGGUGACAUACAGAGCCCAUCUGAUCUUAAACGUGAGGAGCCAGCACCACAAGAAGUUAAAGGGACGAGCCCAAAAGACGAGCUUGUGCCGGUGUGCACCAUAUUCAGCCAGGGAACCGAGCCGAAGUCUCUGGUGCCUGACGGCUUCCAGCCCACCCUCAUCAAGUCCCCCAGCUUUAGUAUGGGGAGUGGUGGGGGAAGCGCUGAGGCGUUGACCCCCAGCAAGUUGACAGCCCCCUUCGUGUGCCAGCCCAGCCCCAGCCUUAGUAAGUUCUUCACUGACAAUGGACAAGCCAAUCCAGCCUCCGACUUCUUUGAUUCCUUUACCGUCCCCUCCUCCUUCAUCUCCGUUUCAAACCCAAAUGCUGAGAUCCCUCCUGGCCCCAGCCCAGCGCCCACAGCCCCCACCCCUGAACGCCAGCUCUCUUCCACCUCCUCCUCCAUCUCCACCCCCGGAGGACCUCUGGACUCUGGUGCUCCCACACCUAGCUCAGUGUUUGGCCCUGUCCCUACCGAAUCCACCGCCAAGCCCCAACAUCCUCCACCCCAAGCAGUUCCAGCUCCAACUCAAGCCCCCACCCCAGCCACUCAGCCGCAGCCCUUCAACCAGCUCCAGGCUGUGUUCUUGGGUAGCGAUGACCCGUUUGCGACAGCGCUGAGCCUGAGUGAGGUGGACAGACGUCAUGAUGCCUGGCUGCCAUCUGAGGAGACCAGGAAGGUGUUGAUCUCUGUGGCCACCCAGCAGUACAGUCCAGCAUAUGUAGAGACCAACAGACUCACCAUGCCUGGACUCAAGUUUGACAACCUGCAGGGCGAUGCUGUAAAAGACCUAAUGCUUCGUUUCCUGGGAGAACAGGCAGCAAUGAAGCGCCAGGUCCUCACCGCCAACUCUGUGGAACAGUCCUUCACAGGCCUCAAACAGCUCAUCAGCAGUAAGAACUGGCGGGCUGCGGUGGAUCUGACGGGCCGGCUACUGACUGUUCAUGGUCAGGGAUAUGGAAAAGCUGGCCAGCCAACCUCCCACACCACCGACUCAUUGCAGCUCUGGUUUGUGCGGCUGGCACUCCUAACCAAGCUGAACCUCUUCCAAAACGCUGAGCUGGAGUUUGAGCCUUUUGGCAACCUGGAUCAACCAGACCUCUACUAUGAGUACUACCCCACUGUUUACCCUGGGAGGAGAGGCUCCAUGGUGCCGUUCUCCAUGAGGCUGCUGCAUGCCGAGCUUCCCCAGUACCUGGCCAAGCCCCAGGAGGCUCUGGACCGCCUGCACAAUCUCAAAACUGUCUGCCUCGCUAUUCUGGAGAACUUGGAGAAAGGCUUGGCUGAGGAUGGCAGCAUGAUCACCCUAACACAGGAGAACAGGCAAGUGUCUCUUAAGCUGUGGAGGUCUCGCCUCAGCCGGGUCAUGUACUCCAUGGCCAACUGUCUGCUGCUGAUGAAGGACUAUGUUCUGGCUGUGGAGACCUAUCACUCCAUCAUCCAUUAUGAACCCCAGCAGAAAGUACAGCUACUCAGUGGCAUAGGACGCAUCUUCUUGCAGAUCGGAGACAUCAAAACAGCAGAGAGGUACUUCGAGGAUGUGGAGAAAGCCUGCCAGAUGAAUGGGAGCCAGCCCAGUCACACCACAUGCGUGCUGAUGAACAGGGCCUUUGUCCACCUCAGUCAGAACAACUACUCUGAAGCACACGCAUCCUUCAUCGAAGUCUUGAAAAUUGACCCAAAAAACCCUGUUAGAUACAUUCAUCAACAUCGGAAAAGGAAGUGCAGGGACUGGAUAUUAAGUGCAGCGGACCUUGAGACAAUCACUUCUCACGGCAUCUCCCAUCCAGACAACCAGACCAGCCGGACCAAACGUCAACGCAAGCGGUAGAAGGAAGAGAGGGAAGAGAGCCGGGAUAAGAGCUAAGAGAACCCUGGUCGGACCUAAGGCUAUUCCACUACCCAGCCUACUCCUGGCUAAUGUCCGGUCGCAGGAAAAUAUAAUGGAUGAAAUAAGACUCAGGCUAAUUUAGCAACAGGAAAUCAGAGACUACUGUGCCCUCAUCUUUACUGAGACCUGGCUACACCACAACAUCCCAAAUCAAGCUACUGCACUCGAUGGGCGAGCGUGUUCCGCGCUGACAGAACACAAGACUCCAGUGAGACAAGAAGAGGCGGACUAUGUGUUUACAUCAAUGAUGCUUGGUGCUCAAACGCAGUCAAAGUGGAUGGACAAUGUUUGCCAGAUAUGGAAUUUCUAUUGUUAAGAUGUCGACCAUACUAUCUGCCCAGAGAAUUCACCAGUUUUUGUUGCUGCUGUUUACAUUCCUCCAGAUGCUAAUUAAAGAAAUGCACUACAGGAACUUUAUCAGGUCAUCAGCAGUCACAUAACAAAACAACCAAAUUGUGUUGUAGCUGGUGAUUUUAAUCAAACAGACCUCAGAACUGCCUAAAUUUCACCAACAUGUCCACACCUUCACCAGGGGAACAAAUGUUUGUGUAAACUGGACCAUGUUUACACAAACAUUCCUGGCAGCUACAAAGCCCUCCCUCGCCCCAAUUUUGGUCUAUCAGACCACAUUUCCCGGCUUCUCCUGCCGACUUUACACCCAGCUGAUAAAAAGGGUCAAACCAUCAAUAAAACAACAGUUAAAAGUGUGGACAGAUGAAGCUACAGCAGCUCUAUAGGACUGUUUUGAGCACACAGACUGGCACAUGUUCAGAGAGGCCACCACCCAGGAGAACCACAUCAGUCUUGAGGAAUAUACAGCAUCAGUGACAUCAUACAUCAGCAAAUGUGUUGAUGAUGUGAUCACAAAGACAAUAAAAUCAUUCCCCAACCAGAAAGCCUGGAUGAAUGGCGAGGUGAGGGUCUAUCCAGAGCCAAAAAAGCUGGCUUUCAGUCAGGUGACAAGGAAGCAUACAACUUCGCCAGAGCAAGACUGAAAGUUGGCAUCAAGGAGGCAAAGUGGAGACAUCAGGAGAGACUGGAGAGAGACCUCAACACCAAUAAUACUAAAGAUGUGGCAGGCAGUCAAAAACAUCACAGGCUACAAAAGCAGGAGCACCCUCAUCAUGUGUGAGGCCACUUUUACCAGAUGAGCUAAACACAUUUUAUGCUUGUUUUGAUCUCUUAAAUAAAGAGUCAGUUGUAAAGUCUAUUCCACCUCCAGUGGACCGGCCACUGUCAGUAUCCACAGCAGAUGUGAGAAAAUCCCUGCUGAGAGUGAAUAUGAGUAAAGCUGCUGGGCCUGCUAACAUCCCUGGCCGUGUACUAAGAACAUGUGCGAACCAGCUAGUUGAUGUUAUUACUGACUAAGAUAUGUACACUGUCACAGGAGAUUGUUCCCACCUGCUUCAAGAUAGCCACCAUCGUCCCUGUACCUAAAAAAUCUAAUCUAAACGACCACCCUGUGGCACUCACUCCUUUGAGUGUUCUCCAGCACAUAAAGAACAACAUUCCAACCAGCCUGGACCUUUACAGUUUGCUUUCAGAACCAACAGAUCCACAGAGGAUGCCAUCUCCACUGCCUUCCAUUCAGUCUUCACACACCUUGAGAAAAACAACACAUCAGAAUGCUGUUUGUUGAUUUCAGCUCAGCAUUCAGCACAAUCUCCCCUGUGAAACUGGGGAAAACUUAGCACUCUGGGCUUGAGUACCACAUUCUGCAACUGGAUAUUGGACUUCCUCACAAACAGACCCCAGACAGUUCGGACUGGCGGUCACACCUCUUCCAUUCUAGUGCCCCUCAGGGCUGUGUGUUCAGCCCCCUCCUUCACGCUGUACACCCAUAACUGCAGCCCCCCGACAUGGAGACAACUUUGUUGUAAAGUUUGCGGAUGACACCACCAUCAUCGGCCGGAUUUCAAACAACGAUAAGACAUCAUGUUGGGAGGAAAUCAACAUUUUUGCAGAGUGGUGCACAGAGAACAACUCACUGCUCAACAGGCCAACAACAACGCAGCAGUGUGCCUGCUCUAUCUAGGCCGUCUGAAGGAGUCCCUGGGCCAGCUGGAGGGCCUGGUGCAACAGGACCCUGCACUCUACCUCCACGAGAGCGUCCUCUUCAACCUGACCACUAUGU